rnacentral:rRNA from 1 species
GAUUACCUACGGGGCGCAGCAGUAGGGAAUUUUCGUCAAUGGGCGCAAGCCUGAACGAGCAAUGCCGCGUGAACGAGGAAGGUCUUCGGGUCCUAAAGUUCUGUUGAAGGGGAAAAAGAGCGGAGAGAGGAAAUGGUCUCCGAUUGAUAUUACCCUUCGAGGAAGUCACGGCUAACUACGUGCCAGCAGCCGCGGUAAUACGUAGGGAGCAAGCGUUGUCCGGAAUUACUGGGCGUAAAGGGUGCGUAGGCGGCCUGGUAAGUCAGAUGUGAAAUACCCGUGCUUAACAUGGGGGGUGCAUCUGA